ensembl:lncRNA
UUAAGAGUCAUUUUGUACAGGAUAGCCUAGAUAGAGACAGCUUCUCUGUCAUGAACCAGGCCUGUUCACAGCAGCAGCCAUGGCAUCAAACACUCGUGUCUUAUAAAACACAGGAAGAUGAAGACAAUGUUUUGAAUGUGGUCUUGAUGAAAUCCUCUUCUUUUCUUUUUUGGAGGCUCGUACAGUGAUGCAUAUCCCACGUCCAACCACAUUCCCCUCACAAACAGUUCAUGGAAGGAGGAACUGGAGAAACUACGAGUGUCCCCAGUCGAACAGUGAACUAAUCACCACGCUCCAAGACAUAAGCAAGGGAAAACAUCAGAACGACAAAUUUCUGGUCCAUGACAUAAGGCAAAAAACUACCUUUAUCCAAUACUAACAAAAAUUCAUUAAAAAAACAAACAAAACAACAACAAAAAACACCACCACACACACAGAAACAAAAUGAACAGUUACACAAAAAGGCCAGCAUGCAUGAAUAACACUAGAAGAUCAACAACAUAUAUCUAGCAUAUUUCUAUGCAGGCUAUUUCAAUAUAACUGAAACUAGGACUGAAGUAGUAGAAGGUGUAAUGGCUGUGGUUCUAAACUAAAUACAGUACUCAUUUGUUUUGCUUAGUGCCAGUGCAUAUAGCACAUAUUUACACUGAAGGACAAUGACCCUAUGCUAAGGGGUGAAUGCAUACAGUACAUAGAUACUAAGAAAAAACAGCAACUCAAAAGACAAAUACAUUUUUGCCGUUCAUGUAUGGCACAUCUGUCACAGCUCACUGCUUGUUCGUGUGGGUCGAGAGAACAGCUGCGCUUAAGGCCCCAACUGGCCAAACCAAACCCUCACUGACCAUCACAGUAAGUCUCCAUAUUCCACUAAAUAUCACAAGUUGUUCCUUGAUGUUCAUCAGUCCGUGUCUUAAAAAGUCAGGCAUGGGGGGGAAAAUGGACAAUACAGUAGGAGAACCUACAGUGGCCAUGUAACCUUACAGUGGAAGUGGAACAAUACCUUAAUAAGUACUAGUCUAGGUGGCCUAUCUAAAUGUUCAAUAUGAAUGAGGAUAUUUUGUACAAUCUGUUCAAAACAACUACUGAUAAAACAGUAACAGGGAACGGCUUUAGUGUAUUAAUGAUGCGCCGCAGUCAAGAACACUGCGGUAUCCUGUCAGAUUAAACAACUUUGGUAUGUCAGUACACCGAACCAAACAAAUGCGGUUAAAUAAGGCCAUUAGACUCUUACAAUUUAUAUUAUAUAUAAUCUGAACAGCUGUUUUUUUUUUUUUUUUUUAAAUACGUCACCAUCAAUACCUGAAAAGAAGAUUUUUCUAAAUUGUUUCUAUCAAACCAAACUUGACAGGCCUAACAGCCAACGAAUUUGGCUACUUCAAAUAAUCAGCUUCUCACAUAUGGUAUAGCUUAAUCUGCUCAAGAUUCACAUUAAAGUGUCUAAAAAUUCAGUGUGUCCAAAAGGGAGCAAUGUUGGAAAGCUCGGAGGGUCAAGAAGAAACUGUGCAUCUUGAGGUUUAUAAUGUGCUCCAAUGUGCUUUCAUCCUACGAAGAGUUUUCUCUGCAAUAAAAGAUUCCUGGGAGUGAUUUUCACAGCAAAAAGCAAUGAUUAGCAAAUGUUUGACUGAUAAAAGAAAAUCUAUACACCAACCUGGUGUGCCAGUGGAAACAUGCAAAUAUGGAAAAAUUGCACAAGAUGGGUGAAAAAAAAAAAUUAACUUCCCAGCCAGUUGCUCCCUGAGUAUUCUGG